rfam:Kurthia sp. 11kri321, complete genome.
UACAAGCUGCAUUGUUCGUAAUAGUAUUAAGUUUUAACCUUUAAGCUGUAAUAGGGAGUUUUAGAUUGAGUAAGGACUGGCAAGCCUCUUAGCUAGGAGGACAUACAUGAGCGACUCUGCGAACACCCACUUUUAGGAGUGGUGGUUUAAAACUUUCAAUAUGAUCAACUUACGGCAAAGGCGGCUUCUCU